rnacentral:rRNA from 1 species
UACGUAGGGUGCUAGCGUUACUCGGAAUCAUUGGGCGUAAAGGGUGCGUAGGCGGAAUUAUAAGUCAGAUGUGAAAGCCUUGGGCUCAACCCAAGAAGUGCAUUUGAUACUGUAAUUCUAGAGUACAGGAGAGGAAGGUGGAAUUCCCGGUGUAGAGGUGAAAUCCGUAGAUAUCGGGAGGAAUACCAGAGGCGAAGGCGGCCUUCUGGACUGACACUGACGCUGAGGCACGAAAGCGUGGGGAGCAAACAGGAUUAGAUACCCUGGUAGUCCACGCCCUAAACGAUGGUUACUAGAUGAGGUGGGAUUUGACCCCUGCCGUAUCGAAGCUAACGCGAUAAGUAACCCGCCUGGGGAGUACGGCCGCAAGGCUAAA